GGCGUCCGAGUUGUAAUUUGUAGAGGAUGCUAUUGAGUUGUCACCGGUCUAAGUUCCUUGGAACAGGACGUCACAGAGGGUGAGAAUCCCGUAUGUGACCGGCCAGACGCUCUCUGUAUAGCUCCUUCGACGAGUCGGGUUGUUUGGGAAUGCAGCCCUAAAUGGGAGGUAAAUUUCUUCUAAAGCUAAAUACCGGCCAGAGACCGAUAGCGCACAAGUAGAGUGAUCGAAAGAUGAAAAGCACUUUGGAAAGAGAGUUAAAAAGCACGUGAAAUUGUUGAAAGGGAAGCGCUUGCAAUCAGUCUCGACGGCGGCUGUUCGGCCUCUCUUCUGAGUGGUUUAUUCAGUCGCCGCCGGGCCAGCAUCAGUUCUGGCGGUCGGAUAAAGGCGCAGGGAAUGUAGCUCCUCUCGGGGAGUGUUAUAGCCCUGUGUGCAAUACGGCCCGCCGGGACUGAGGUCCGCGCUUCGGCUAGGAUGCUGGCGAAAUGGUUGUAAGCGGCCCGUCUUGAAACACGGACCAAGGAGUCUAACAUCUAUGCGAGUGUUUGGGUGUCAAACCCGUACGCGUAAUGAAAGUGAACGGAGGUGGGAACCGCAAGGUGCACCAUCGACCGAUCCUGAUGUCUUCGGAUGGAUUUGAGUAAGAGCAUAGCUGUUGGGACCCGAAAGAUGGUGAACUAUGCCUGAAUAGGGUGAAGCCAGAGGAAACUCUGGUGGAGGCUCGCAGCGGUUCUGACG
rnacentral:rRNA from 3 species